rnacentral:rRNA from 1 species
GACGAACGCUGGCGGCGUGCUUAACACAUGCAAGUCGAACGGAAAGGCCCUGCUUUUGUGGGGUGCUCGAGUGGCGAACGGGUGAGUAACACGUGAGUAACCUGCCCUUGACUUUGGGAUAACUUCAGGAAACUGGGGCUAAUACCGGAUAGGAGCUCCUGCUGCAUGGUGGGGGUUGGAAAGUUUCGGCGGUUGGGGAUGGACUCGCGGCUUAUCAGCUUGUUGGUGGGGUAGUGGCUUACCAAGGCUUUGACGGGUAGCCGGCCUGAGAGGGUGACCGGACACAUUGGGCCGGGAAUGAGCCCCAGCCUCGACCGGGGGGGGGGGGUGGGGAAGAUGACACAAGGGCGGGAGGCCUGACCCGACAGCGCCGGGUGGGGGAUGACGGCCUGGGGUUAGAAACCCACUUCCCCCUGAGAGGGGGCGAGGGUGAGGGUAAUGGAAAAAGAAGCCCCGGCUAACUACGUG